CAUUGUUUUACAUUGUCAUUUCGGGCCUUUUGAAGCUGAGUAUGCGGUAUGGGAUUUGCUCUUUGUUGAAGGCCGUACGGUGACCUAUAGUUGUUAAUAUCUGUGUCAUUUUGGUCUCUUGUGGAGAGUUGUCUUAACAUGGCAAUCAUACCACAUCUUCUUUUUUUUGUAUGUAAUCAAUAAAUUUUGUAAAAGAUUUAAUGAUUGGAGAAUUUCAGAAAAAGUAUCAAAAGUUCACAUGAAUAAUUUUAGCGCUUAUCUGUAUAUUAUGAACAUUC
rnacentral:lncRNA from 1 species